rnacentral:rRNA from 2 species
AGAGUUUGAUCCUGGCUCAGGAUGAACGCUGGCGGCGUGCCUAAUACAUGCAAGUCGAGCGAACGGACGAGAAGCUUGCUUCUCUGAUGUUAGCGGCGGACGGGUGAGUAACACGUGGAUAACCUACCUAUAAGACUGGGAUAACUUCGGGAAACCGGAGCUAAUACCGGAUAAUAUUUUGAACCGCAUGGUUCAAAAGUGAAAGACGGUCUUGCUGUCACUUAUAGAUGGAUCCGCGCUGCAUUAGCUAGUUGGUAAGGUAACGGCUUACCAAGGCAACGAUGCAUAGCCGACCUGAGAGGGUGAUCGGCCACACUGGAACUGAGACACGGUCCAGACUCCUACGGGAGGCAGCAGUAGGGAAUCUUCCGCAAUGGGCGAAAGCCUGACGGAGCAACGCCGCGUGAGUGAUGAAGGUCUUCGGAUCGUAAAACUCUGUUAUUAGGGAAGAACAUAUGUGUAAGUAACUGUGCACAUCUUGACGGUACCUAAUCAGAAAGCCACGGCUAACUACGUGCCAGCAGCCGCGGUAAUACGUAGGUGGCAAGCGUUAUCCGGAAUUAUUGGGCGUAAAGCGCGCGUAGGCGGUUUUUUAAGUCUGAUGUGAAAGCCCACGGCUCAACCGUGGAGGGUCAUUGGAAACUGGAAAACUUGAGUGCAGAAGAGGAAAGUGGAAUUCCAUGUGUAGCGGUGAAAUGCGCAGAGAUAUGGAGGAACACCAGUGGCGAAGGCGACUUUCUGGUCUGUAACUGACGCUGAUGUGCGAAAGCGUGGGGAUCAAACAGGAUUAGAUACCCUGGUAGUCCACGCCGUAAACGAUGAGUGCUAAGUGUUAGGGGGUUUCCGCCCCUUAGUGCUGCAGCUAACGCAUUAAGCACUCCGCCUGGGGAGUACGACCGCAAGGUUGAAACUCAAAGGAAUUGACGGGGACCCGCACAAGCGGUGGAGCAUGUGGUUUAAUUCGAAGCAACGCGAAGAACCUUACCAAAUCUUGACAUCCUUUGACAACUCUAGAGAUAGAGCCUUCCCCUUCGGGGGACAAAGUGACAGGUGGUGCAUGGUUGUCGUCAGCUCGUGUCGUGAGAUGUUGG